AGGACGAACGCUGGCGGCGUGCUUAACACAUGCAAGUCGAGCGAGGCCCUUCCUUCGGGAAGGUGCCCUAGCGGCGAACGGGUGAGUAACACGUGGGCAACCUGCCCCUAGCACUGGGAUAACUCCGGGAAACCGGGGCUAAUACCGGAUAUGACCAUCGAGGGCAUCCUCGUUGGUGUAAAGGAUUCUGGCUAGGGAUGGGCCCGCGGCCUAUCAGCUUGUUGGUGGGGUAACGGCCUAUCAAGGCGACGACGGGUA
rnacentral:rRNA from 1 species